CCUUAUCUAGGCCUUAAAGAGACACCUCCAAAGAUGAUGCCACCCUUCCAGCCAUGGCUCUCGACUUGAAACAUGGCGAACUCAACCUUUCCCGUCAUUUUGAGUUCUCCACCAUGGAUCUCUUGCCACUCGUUGCUUCUCCUCCUGUAUGGCUCCAACAUCACACUUUUCUGCUGCCUGUGCCCGUCUGGGGUGAUGAGUUCAAAGAUGACGGGGGCAUUGCUCCACCCAAAGGCAUCGACCUUAAACCUGAGGUGGUAGAUGAUCUCAUAGCGUCCGGACCCACUGAGUCGAGGCUGCUUGUGCACUGCCGAGUCCAGACUCCCUCUUGCUUCGAGCCAAUUCACCUGAAUCAGCUCUGCAGCAGCGUCAAAGCUAUGGCAUCCAACAAGAUGAACCAACACAGGUCAGUAAGCAUCAUGGAAUAAGAUUUAUUAUCUAUCUAUCUCUCUCACGAGAGCAUUUCGUAGUUUGUGGCCUUUUUGAUAAGACUAUGUAUGAUGAGCUCAUCGGAUGAGUUGAUAGCAUGCAUGGUGUUAAGAGUGACAGAACAAAAACAAAAAAAAUGCUACCUCAUGUCAUCUUUGGAGAAGGCUUUGGGUAGCUCAUUCUUGGAAAGCGGAAUCCACUUCCAGAAUCUCGCAUCGUUGGCCCAAGUUAUGUUCAUGGCUU
rnacentral:lncRNA from 1 species